rnacentral:rRNA from 1 species
UACGUAGGGUGCGAGCGUUAAUCGGAAUUACUGGGCGUAAAGCGUGCGCAGGCGGUCCGCUAAGACAGGUGUGAAAUCCCUGGGCUCAACCUAGGAAUUGCGCUUGUGACUGGCGGGCUAGAGUACGGUAGAGGGGGGUGGAAUUCCUGGUGUAGCAGUGAAAUGCGUAGAGAUCAGGUGGAACACCGAUGGUGAAGGCAGCCCCCUGGGCCUGUACUGACGAUCAGGCACGAAAGCGUGGGGAGCAAACAGG